rnacentral:rRNA from 1 species
AGCGAACGCUGGCGGCAGGCCUAACACAUGCAAGUCGAACGGACCCUUCGGGGUUAGUGGCGGACGGGUGAGUAACACGUGGGAACGUGCCUUUAGGUUCGGAAUAGCUCCUGGAAACGGGUGGUAAUGCCGAAUGUGCCCUUCGGGGGAAAGAUUUAUCGCCUUUAGAGCGGCCCGCGUCUGAUUAGCUAGUUGGUGAGGUAACGGCUCACCAAGGCGACGAUCAGUAGCUGGUCUGAGAGGAUGACCAGCCACACUGGGACUGAGACACGGCCCAGACUCCUACGGGAGGCAGCAGUGGGGAAUCUUGCGCAAUGGGCGAAAGCCUGACGCAGCCAUGCCGCGUGAACGAUGAAGGUCUUAGGAUUGUAAAAUUCUUUCACCGGGGACGAUAAUGACGGUACCCGGAGAAGAAGCCCCGGCUAACUUCGUG